CCUACGUGAGGCAGCAGUGAGGAAUAUUGGUCAAUGGGCGCGAGCCUGAACCAGCCAAGUAGCGUGAAGGAUGACUGCCCUACGGGUUGUAAACUUCUUUUAUAUGGGAAUAAAACGUUCCACGUGUGGGCUUUUGUAUGUACCAUAUGAAUAAGGAUCGGCUAACUCCGUGCCAGCAGCCGCGGUAAUACGGAGGAUCCGAGCGUUAUCCGGAUUUCUUGGGUUUAAAGGGAGCGUCGGUGGAUUGUUAAGUCAGUUGUGAAAGUUUGCGGCUCAACCGUAAAAUUGCAGUUGAAACUGGCAGUCUUGAGUACAGUAGAGGUGGGCGGAAUUCGUGGUGUAGCGGUGAAAUGCUUAGAUAUCACGAAGAACUCCGAUUGCGAAGGCAGUUCACUGGACUGCAACUGACACUGAGGCUCGAAAGUGUGGGUAUCAAACAGGAUUAGAUACCCCUGUAGUC
rnacentral:rRNA from 1 species